rnacentral:rRNA from 1 species
CGCGUAGGCGGCCUUGUAUGUCGAUUGUGAAAGCCCCGGGCUCAACCUGGGAACUGCAGUCGAAACUGCAAGGCUUGAAUGUUGGAGAGGUUGGGGGAAUACCUAGUGGAGAAGUGAAAUUCGUAGAGAUUAGGUGGAACACCAGAGGCGAAGGCGCCUGACUGGCCAAACAUUGACGCUGAGGCGCGAAAGCGUGGGUAGCAAACA